rnacentral:lncRNA from 1 species
CGUAUUCUCUUCUCUUUUAAUACUUAAUUCUAUACUGCCCGUUCUCCUGAUCACACUGACUUGUUGUUUUCACAAUGUUUUUACUGUUCCGAACGGAUGAUAUAUCCAAUAACCUAACUGUAACGUUCCAACUUGAAAUUAAAUAAUUGCGGAUUUCAGCCUUAAAAUAACUGAGAUGAAGUUUUUAUCUUGUAUGAUAGAUCAGUUGUUUGUCUCUCAAAUAGGGUUAGCUGUAACCAU